AAUUCAGAAGUUGAUCAUGGUUCAGAACGAACGCUGGCGGCAAGCUUAACACAGGCAAGUCGAACGGACCGUACACGCAGCUUGCUGCGUGUAUGGUCAGUGGCAAACGGGUGAGUAAUGCAUAGGAAUCUGCCUAGUAGUAUAGGAUAGCCACUAGAAGUGGUGGGUACUACUGUAUAAUCCCUGCGGGGGAAAGAUUUAUCGCUACUAGAUGAGCCUAUGUCAGAUUAGCUAGUUGGUGGGGUAAUGGCCCACCAAGGCUAUGAUCUGUAGCUGGUCUGAGAGGAUGAUCAGCCACACUGGAACUGAGACACGGUCCAGACUCCUACGGGAGGCAGCAGUGGGGAAUAUUGGACAAUGGGCGCAAGCCUGAUCCAGCUAUGCCGCGUGAGUGAGGAAAGCCUUAGGGUUGUAAAACUCUUUCAGUGGGGUAAGAUAA
rnacentral:rRNA from 1 species